rnacentral:rRNA from 1 species
CGAUGGUAAGGUAGUGUCUUACCAUGGUGGCAACGGGUAACGGACCGUGGGUGCGGGACUCCGGAGAGGGAGCCUGAGAAACGGCUACCACAUCCAAGGAAGGCAGCAGGCGCGUAAAUUACCCAAUCCAGACUCUGGGAGGUAGUGACAAGAAAUAUCAAUAGGGGACCCUAUGGGUCUUCUAAUUGGAAUGAGAACAAACUAAACAGCUUAUCGAGAAUCCAGCAGAGGGCAAGUCUGGUGCCAGCAGCCGCGGUAAUUCCAGCUCUGUAAGCGUAUACCAAAGUUGUUGCAGUUAAAACGCUCGUAGUCGGAUUUUGGCAGUUCCGGACGGUACGUGUCGUGCGCGCACUUUGCGGGGACUGCUUUUGUGGGUAUGCGUGGGAUGAGGCAACUUUAUUGUUGAACGUCCCUACGCAACCACUCUUUACUAACAGUAAAUUAACGUGUUCAAAGCAGGCAAUUGCCGUGAAUACAUUAACAUGGAAUAAUAGAAUAGGACUCUGUCUUAUUUUGUUGGUUUGUUAGGGCGGAGUAAUGAUUAAGAGGGACAGUUGGGGGCAUUUGUAUUUCGGCGCUAGAGGUGAAAUUCUUAGAUUGCCGAAAGACAAACUGCUGCGAAAGCGUCUGCCAAGGAUGUUUUCAUUGAUCAAGAACGAAAGUAAGGGGAUCGAAGACGAUCAGAUACCGUCGUAGUCUUUACUAUAA